UUAUUAGGGUAAUUUUCUAUUUUACGUCCGCCACUCAGACCACUGCUCCGACAUUGUCACCCCUGCUAUCAGGGCCAAGUUUGCCGCUAACGGGGGGUUUCCAUGCAAUAAAACCUACAUAUUUGGAUUGUACAGAGGGAGAGGACUCCAAUGAUACCAAAAUCAUUGAUAUCGGAGAGGGGAAGGUAAUAUAAAAAUUACCUAGUAUUUUUCUUGCAUGGGUAAUAUUACAUUUUUCCAUGCACAGAAAACAUCAUUUUGUUUACAUUUGUGUGGACGAAUCUGCAGAUAGAUGAUGAAACAAGUGUAUAGAAAGGUGAAAAGGAUUUUAUGCUUUGGUCCUUUUUUAAAAGAUGAUUUAAAAAAGGACUAAGUGUGUGCAGAAAGUUACCCAAGAACUACAUUUGCACAGACAGAAUUUGACCAAAUAGUUUUUGUGCGGGGAACGUUCCCUGCGUAGACCAAACUUUACAGUCUGUCAUAUUCACAGUAGGUCUAGGCUUAUAUCUUCAUUUGGUGUAUCUUUUCUCUUCUUUUAGACUAUACCAUAGUCUAUACUCCCUGGAUCCUUUUUUGUAGUUCUUUGAUAUUUUCAAAUUAUAUCUAUUAUUAUUCUUUGUAGGAAUAUCUUUGUAUGUCUCAACAUGUAUUACUUCUUUACUGGUGGUUGAUUUGCUCCUGUAAUUAAUAAAUUCAGGUCAGGGUUUUGUACUCUUAUCUUGUUUAGGGCUUGUAGUAGGUUGGUCCUGCAUGAGUUAAAUCUCGGGCAUUGUAAGAUUAGAUAGUGUUUCUUGAUUGCUACACCAUUGGCACAUUGGAUCUGUUUCUAUUUUUAGUCUAUGCAAGUGUGUUUUGAGUCUUGUGUGUUUUGCCAUUAGUCUUGCAAUGCUGACAUCUAUUUUCCUGUUCUGUAACUUUAGUUUCAAACAAGGAGCAGAUAAGGGUUCCCCUCCCAUUACUUUUGGAAACAUCAUCUGGUAAUUUGCAGUUGCAUCAGCUGCAGUAUAAGGACAGUUCCAGAACCCUGUAUGAAGAAUAGUAUGAUCGAUGUUGAAUGAUGACUGUUUGUUGUUGUAAUAUUGUUCAUUUUUAGGCAGUCAAAAUGUGUUGUUGUGUAUAGAAAGGUUUAAAAUGGAUGCAUUUAUUUUGCAAAGCAGGAGGAAAAUAAUCAAAUGUUGUGUAAAUCAACCUAUGAGAUAAUAUUAUGCAAAUAGAUUG